AUGAACUGCCUGCUCUGGUUCUUUUAUGGGCUCCCCAUCGUCCACCCCAACAGCACCCUCGUCCUCACCAUCAACGGCAUCGGCCUCGUUAUUGAGGGCGCCUACAUCAUCAUCUUCAUCAUCUACGCGGCCAAGAACACAAGGUGGAAGAUGCUCGGCGUGCUCGCCCUUGAGGCGGCGUUCAUGGCUGUCGUGGUGGCUGGCGUGCUCCUCGGUGCCCACACCCAUGAGAAGCGCUCCAUGAUCGUAGGCAUCCUCUGCGUCAUCUUCGGCUCCAUCAUGUACGCCUCCCCGCUCACCAUCAUGGGUAAAGUGAUCAGGACCAAGAGUGUGGAGUACAUGCCGUUCUUCCUGUCGCUGGUGAACUUCCUCAAUGGCUGCUGCUGGACGGGCUAUGCGCUCAUCAAGUUUGACAUCUACAUCACGAUCCCCAAUGCCCUCGGUACAAUCUUCGGCCUCAUCCAGCUGAUCCUGUACUUUUACUACUACAGAUUGACCCCCAAGAAGGGCAAAAACGUCGAACUGCCCACUGUCCUCACCAAAAACGCCGUUACCAGCGGCAACGUCUCCGUCACCAUCGAAAAAUAA
rnacentral:rRNA from 1 species